rnacentral:snRNA from 1 species
GUGAGCACAUAUACUAAAAUUGGAACGAUACAGAAGAUUAGUAUGGCUCUGCACAAGGAUGACAUGCAAGUUCGUGAAGCUUUCAUGUUUUUA